rnacentral:lncRNA from 1 species
CAUGUGAAUGUCACAUUAGAGAGAGCAAAGUAAUGAUAAGACUUCAAGGAAGAUACAUAUAAGAAAAGAAACAAGACUUGGGAUAAACUCAGAGGGAUAACUACAAAAUCACACCAGAUGAGAAAAAGAAAAUUUGUUCACAUGCUGAAUGAACAAUUGUAUUGAAACCCCAGCAAAUUAAGAGGAACAUAGGCAUAGAAGAUAUUGUUCACAUGAUGAAUGAAUAGUAGAAGCACCAGCUGAUUAAGAGGUAUAACACAGGCAUAAGAAGCUGAACUUCAGUAAGACAACUCAAAUAAAACUAAUCUGAUUCAGCUAGACUAAAGUCCAGAAAGAAAAUACAAUAGAGUUCAGAGACUUAUCUAAAAAGAGGAAACAGAAUAGGGUUCAGAGAAGAAAUUAAAACUCGAGGAAUAGACAAAACUUGGAAGAUAAGAUACAACACAAAGAGACCAGGAGAGAUAUAUACAUCUAAGCAAAUGUGUAAGUAGAAAUUCCAUGUUCAUUUAGCUAUCUCCACUGGCUAUAAAGAUUUACAGCAAAAAGUCUCUGUGAGGUCAGUAGGCUAAACCAAAAUUGACGCGAAAUUAAAAAGGAAUAGGUGACAUGAUUAACUUUGUUAAUGAUAGAUAUCAAUUAAAGGUUAGGAUCAUACCAUGACUACCACGUAAUAAAAUCUCCUCGUUACUCUUUAACCAUGAAAACACAACAAAAACAGCUGCUGUUUCAUGUGAGAUAUGCAGAAUAAGUUGACCUUUUCUUCAUACGUAGUGGAGGGUAGAAAGUUAGAAAAAAUCACAACAGACUGCAAAUACUACAUUCUACCUCCUGACAACUUUGAUUGACAACAACAACAACCCAGUAUAAUCCCACUUAGUGGGGUCUGGGGAGCGUAGUGUGUACGCAGACCUUACCCUACACUGUGGUAGAGAGGCUGUUUCCAAAUAGACCCCCGGCAUCCUUCCCUCCAAGAACUUCCCACCUUGCUCUUGGGGAGACUCGAAUUCACAACCUCUCGGUUGGAAGUGGGGGUUGCUUACCAUGAGAGCUAACCCCUCUUAUCUAACAACUUUAAUUGACAGAUUAACCAAAAGUGAUCGCUAGCCAUUUUCCGAUUUCUAGAACGAUAAACCCACAUCAACGUGAGUCUCUGAUGGGAAGCAUUAACUCAGAAACAAGUCAAAGCAAAGUAUCAGACGUAUCUAGAGCUAACAUCCGCAAUUAGAUAGACUUAACCCAGACCAGCACAGCAAUUAUAUUGCGUUGUAGCAUAUAUCGAUGCAAAUAGAGCAAUCAUCACAUCCAUUGGGAAAAAUAAUAAUUAACAAUAUAACAAGUUAGAGUUAAUACUGAUACCAUGUAAGCAGUUCAGAGAGUUAAAGAAGGAAAUUUAAACACCAAACUCAAAUCAAUACAAGGAUAAUUA